rnacentral:rRNA from 1 species
UACGUAGGGGCUAGCGUUGUCCGGAAUUAUUGGGUCGGUAAAGAGCGUGGUAGGCGGUCAGAACAUGGUCCGAUUGUGAAACUAGAGGCUUAAACCUCCUUAGAACGUCGAUUGGAAACCGUCUAGGCUAGGAGUCCGGGAAGAGGAAGUGUGGAAUUCCUGGUGUAGCGGUGAAAUGCGCAGAUAUCAGGAGAACACCGGUGGCGAAGGCGGUCUCUGGGCAUUACCUGACGUGAGGAGCGAAAGUGUGGGAGGCGAACAGGA